GUCGAGCUGAGGGAGGAGGAUAAUGCUAUGGCGUCCCUGAAUGUCACCACCGCUUUUUUAUCACUCCGGCAGCCGGAAUUCCCCUCCGACAGUGUGAAUCGCCGAUGCCUCAUCGGAAAUUUCCCUAAUUGGAAACCGACCAGGCCGCUCUCCGUCGCUGCAAAUUCUUCGGAGCCAUUGCUGUCGACUCCUGCCGAAAAGCCUGAGAUCGAGCUCGAAUUUAUUGGGCCGAAGCCGGGAAACGAUGGAUCGUUUCCGG
rnacentral:misc_RNA from 1 species